GGUUAAGCGACUAAGCGUACACGGUGGAUGCCCUGGCAGUCAGAGGCGAUGAAGGACGUGCUAAUCUGCGAAAAGCGUCGGUAAGGUGAUAUGAACCGUUAUAACCGGCGAUGUCCGAAUGGGGAAACCCAGUGUGUUUCGACACACUAUCAUUAACUGAAUCCAUAGGUUAAUGAGGCGAACGGGGGAACUGAAACAUCUAAGUACCCCGAGGAAAAGAAAUCAACCGAGAUUCCCCCAGUAGCGGCGAGCGAACGGGGAGGAGCCCAGAGCCUGAAUCAGUGUGUGUGUUAGUGGAAGCGUCUGGAAAGGCGUGCGAUACAGGGUGACAGCCCCGUACACAAAAAUGCACAUGCUGUGAGCUCGAUGAGUAGGGCGGGACACGUGGUAUCCUGUCUGAAUAUGGGGGGACCAUCCUCCAAGGCUAAAUACUCCUGACUGACCGAUAGUGAACCAGUACCGUGAGGGAAAGGCGAAAAGAACCCCGGCGAGGGGAGUGAAAAAGAACCUGAAACCGUGUACGUACAAGCAGUGGGAGCCUCUUUAUGGGGUGACUGCGUACCUUUUGUAUAAUGGGUCAGCGACUUAUAUUCUGUAGCAAGGUUAACCGAAUAGGGGAGCCGGAGGGAAACCGAGUCUUAACUGGGCGUUAAGUUGCAGGGUAUAGACCCGAAACCCGGUGAUCUAGCCAUGGGCAGGUUGAAGGUUGGGUAACACUAACUGGAGGACCGAACCGACUAAUGUUGAAAAAUUAGCGGAUGACUUGUGGCUGGGGGUGAAAGGCCAAUCAAACCGGGAGAUAGCUGGUUCUCCCCGAAAGCUAUUUAGGUAGCGCCUCGUGAAUUCAUCUCCGGGGGUAGAGCACUGUUUCGGCAAGGGGGUCAUCCCGACUUACCAACCCGAUGCAAACUGCGAAUACCGGAGAAUGUUAUCACGGGAGACACACGGCGGGUGCUAACGUCCGUCGUGAAGAGGGAAACAACCCAGACCGCCAGCUAAGGUCCCAAAGUCAUGGUUAAGUGGGAAACGAUGUGGGAAGGCCCAGACAGCCAGGAUGUUGGCUUAGAAGCAGCCAUCAUUUAAAGAAAGCGUAAUAGCUCACUGGUCGAGUCGGCCUGCGCGGAAGAUGUAACGGGGCUAAACCAUGCACCGAAGCUGCGGCAGCGACGCUGAUGCGUUGUUGGGUAGGGGAGCGUUCUGUAAGCCUGUGAAGGUGUGCUGUGAGGCAUGCUGGAGGUAUCAGAAGUGCGAAUGCUGACAUAAGUAACGAUAAAGCGGGUGAAAAGCCCGCUCGCCGGAAGACCAAGGGUUCCUGUCCAACGUUAAUCGGGGCAGGGUGAGUCGACCCCUAAGGCGAGGCCGAAAGGCGUAGUCGAUGGGAAACAGGUUAAUAUUCCUGUACUUGGUGUUACUGCGAAGGGGGGACGGAGAAGGCUAUGUUGGCCGGGCGACGGUUGUCCCGGUUUAAGCGUGUAGGCUGGUUUUCCAGGCAAAUCCGGAGAAUCAAGGCUGAGGCGUGAUGACGAGGCACUACGGUGCUGAAGCAACAAAUGCCCUGCUUCCAGGAAAAGCCUCUAAGCAUCAGGUAACAUCAAAUCGUACCCCAAACCGACACAGGUGGUCAGGUAGAGAAUACCAAGGCGCUUGAGAGAACUCGGGUGAAGGAACUAGGCAAAAUGGUGCCGUAACUUCGGGAGAAGGCACGCUGAUAUGUAGGUGAAGCGACUUGCUCGUGGAGCUGAAAUCAGUCGAAGAUACCAGCUGGCUGCAACUGUUUAUUAAAAACACAGCACUGUGCAAACACGAAAGUGGACGUAUACGGUGUGACGCCUGCCCGGUGCCGGAAGGUUAAUUGAUGGGGUCAGCGCAAGCGAAGCUCUUGAUCGAAGCCCCGGUAAACGGCGGCCGUAACUAUAACGGUCCUAAGGUAGCGAAAUUCCUUGUCGGGUAAGUUCCGACCUGCACGAAUGGCGUAAUGAUGGCCAGGCUGUCUCCACCCGAGACUCAGUGAAAUUGAACUCGCUGUGAAGAUGCAGUGUACCCGCGGCAAGACGGAAAGACCCCGUGAACCUUUACUAUAGCUUGACACUGAACACUGGUCCUUGAUGUGUAGGAUAGGUGGGAGGCUUUGAAGUGUGGACGCCAGUCUGCAUGGAGCCGUCCUUGAAAUACCACCCUUUAAUGGCUGGUGUUCUAACGUAGGCCCCUUAUCGGGGUUGCGGACAGUGUCUGGUGGGUAGUUUGACUGGGGCGGUCUCCUCCUAAAGAGUAACGGAGGAGCACGAAGGUUGGCUAAUCCUGGUCGGACAUCAGGAGGUUAGUGCAAUGGCAUAAGCCAGCUUGACUGCGAGCGUGACGGCGCGAGCAGGUGCGAAAGCAGGUCAUAGUGAUCCGGUGGUUCUGAAUGGAAGGGCCAUCGCUCAACGGAUAAAAGGUACUCCGGGGAUAACAGGCUGAUACCGCCCAAGAGUUCAUAUCGACGGCGGUGUUUGGCACCUCGAUGUCGGCUCAUCACAUCCUGGGGCUGAAGUAGGUCCCAAGGGUAUGGCUGUUCGCCAUUUAAAGUGGUACGCGAGCUGGGUUUAGAACGUCGUGAGACAGUUCGGUCCCUAUCUGCCGUGGGCGCUGGAGAACUGAGGGGGGCUGCUCCUAGUACGAGAGGACCGGAGUGGACGCAUCACUGGUGUUCGGGUUGUCAUGCCAAUGGCACUGCCCGGUAGCUAAAUGCGGAAGAGAUAAGUGCUGAAAGCAUCUAAGCACGAAACUUGCCCCGAGAUGAGUUCUCCCUGACCCUUUAAGGGUCCUGAAGGAACGUUGAAGACGACGACGUUGAUAGGCCGGGUGUGUAAGCGCAGCGAUGCGUUGAGCUAACCGGUACUAAUGAACCGUGAGGCUUAACCUU
rnacentral:rRNA from 1 species